GACAGAGGGUGCAAACGUUGUUCGGAAUUACUGGGCGUAAAGCGCGUGUAGGCGGCAGCGUGUGUCGGGCGUGAAAUCCCACGGCUCAACCGUGGAAGUGCACUCGAAACUGCGCAGCUAGAGUCCUGGAGAGGAAGGUGGAAUGCUUGGUGUAGAGGUGAAAUUCGUAGAUAUCAAGCGGAACACCGGUGGCGAAGGCGGCCUUCUGGACAGUGACUGACGCUGAGACGCGAAAGCGUGGGGAGCAAACGGG
rnacentral:rRNA from 1 species